CAAAAGUUAGAAUGAAAGAUAAACAGUAAACUGGAGUAGAAUUGUCAAGAAGGUGUGCGAGCUAAGACUUGACUUGCAGGCUGGCGUAUUGGAAUAUCCUUAAAUAACUCCAUAUUACUUCCUCCUUCACUUGUCAUCUUCCCUGUAAUUGUAAAGACUGCUCUUCGGAGUUACUCUUUUUAUUGUAGUGAAACGAUAUCGUAGUCUUCUCUUGCUAGCAAAGCUUCAUUUUUUAUUCUCCUAAAACAGAAGAAAGCAGUAAAAGCAAUUUCUUCUCUUCGCUCGCCGAUGGCAAUUGACCCAAUUCUCUUAUUGUAAUCACUGUGUGUGUAAUUUCUUGUUGAUUUGUAGGCGGGGAUUAAUGGGCUGCACGCAAUCUAACAUCGAGGAUGAAGAAACUGUAAAUCGAUGCAGGGAGCGGAAGCAGUAUAUGGAGCGGGCCGUAGCGGCCCGCAACAAGUUUGCGGCUGCCCACUCGUCCUACGCGAUGUCCUUGAAGAACAUCGGUGCCGCCCUUAGUGACUUUGCUCAUGGAGAAGUUGUAUAUCCUGCCGGCGGCAGUGGCAGUGGAGGUGGAAUUGGUACUGAUGCCACCAUUCAGCCACCAAUUCUGCCUCAUGAUAGCAUUUCUUCUUUCCCUCCUCCCUUGCCUCCGUUCAAUCCGACUCCUUCACCACUACAGCGGGCGUCUACUGUUCCUGAAUUUCGAACUGAACUAAAGCGUACGAACUCGAUAACUGAGGAGGAGAGCGAAGAGGACAUUGAAAAUGAGAGUACUCAUAAUUUGAAGCAUCGCAGCAGUAAGAGUAGCGCACGGGGUAGUAUGGGAAGGAGAGAUGGACUUUCACAUAAGGAGGUUACUGAGGAAGAGGUCUUGCAGAAGCCACCUCCGCCAAUGCUGCCAAAUGAACCUGAUCACAAGCAUCUAGCCCGUCCUCCUCCUCCUCCUCCUCCUCCUCCUUCUGCUAUGAAUAACGACAAUUCUUGGGAUUAUUUCUUGGAGCCGGAUAUGCAAAGGUCGACACUGGCUGAUGUUGAGGAUGAUCACUACCAGGGACAGGAAAUUGAGCGAAAAAUGCGAGAAGAAAGGGCUAAGAAAAGUGAAAUGGAUGGUGAAAUUGAUGGAGGGAGGAGGGUUCAGAAGGUGGAGGUGGCCGCUGAAGUGGUGGAAGGCACAGUGAAUCUUUCAAAACAGCCUCCUCCGACUCAAAAAGUAGUGGCAACAAAGCUGGCCAAGAGAGUGAAAAUGGGGGCUCCAGCAGAAGGGAUAAUGAAAGGUGGACCGAGUAAUACAAACUUAUUGCAAAUAUUUGUGGAUUUUGAUGAUUGUUUUCUCAAGGCUUGCGAGAGUGCUCAUGAUGUAUCUAGGUUGCUCGAGGCCACCCGCUUGCAUUAUCACUCAAAUUUUGCAGAUAAAAGAGGUAUAAUAUAUAUAGUUGGUGUUUAAUGUGGCUAGAAUCGCAUAGUAAUGGCCUCGGAAUAAACUGAUAACAAUAAUGCUUAUUCAGUAUGAAUAUUGAAUAGUUUACAUACCAAAUUAAUAUACUUUAUCAAGGGAAGUUCUUUCACCUUAAUCAUGGUAGUUUACCGCAAAUGUUCAAUAUGAUCAUAAUUUUAGUUUGGAUUGGAAAGAGUGUCAGUCUAACUGUCCUGUCAGUGGUUGAAUGAUCCUUUCACUAUUUGAUGAUUAUAUAAAAGCUUACGUGAAAAAUAACAAAUGGCUUUGCAAAGAAAGAUAAAAAGAAAUUGCAUCUGCAUUAAGUGUAGUCGCGUAGUCAUUGAAACUAUAAGAAAAAUAGCUUUUAUUAUAUUUUGGCUUGGAGUCGGAACAAGAGUUAGUCCAAUAGUUCAGAUGAGCCAUGAAGUAUUCAUUUGAUGUAUAAAUACUACAGUCUUUUCUUUAUAGGGCACAUUGAUCAUUCUACUAGGGUCAUGCGCGUCAUUACAUGGAAUAGGUCCUUCAAAGGUUUACCCGACUUAGAUGAUGGAGUUGACGACUCUGAUUCUGACGAGCACGAGACUCAUGCAACAGUAUUGGACAAGAUGCUGGCAUGGGAGAAGAAGCUUUAUGAUGAAGUUAAAGUAUGCACAUUAAUAUUUAUGUUCAACUUGUCAUAUAUAUUCGGUGGAUCUUUAGACUUUGUUUCUUUAGUAAUCAUCUUGUUUAAUUUUCAUCAAAAAAGUUAUACUUAAAAAUGGAAGAGUUUCUAAAUUUCAUCUUAUUCUCAAUAAGGUGGUUGAAUUCGAAAAUUUUUCUUACAUUUUGUUGUUAAUUUUGAAUAUUGUGAACAGUUUGUUUAACAGCUUCAAUUUUUAUGUAAUAUUCUACCAAGCAUCAAAAUCUAAAUUUGGUGCUUUCAUUGAAGUUUUUGCCAUUGAUUGGCUUUUAGAUACUGGUAUCCUAGGUUCAUUGCUUCAAACCUCAAUCAGAAACUCCAGUGAGGGCAUGUACAACUGGAAACCAGCAACGUGUGACAGUGUUGAAUUUGACACCAUGUCAAAGAAAUUAAGCGUGUGACUGAUGAGUUAGCUCUGAUAUCAAAUUGACACAGAACUUUCUCAGAAUGAGAAUUAGAGAUGAUAUAAUAAAAGAAGAAUUUAGGAGGAAGAAAUCUAUAUUUAAUAUCAAUAAUUACUAUAGUAUGAAUAUAAAUGAAAUCCCAGGUUCCUUUACAUAGGAUAAAGAACUUAAAUCUCAAAGAUAAUUGUAUAACUUUCAUGGUUGGGGUAUAGCCAACUCCUGCUGGCUUGCUGGGUCUAAGUGGACAUCCCACUCAGAUUUAGAUGGUGUUUUAAUUAAAUGAAAACUUAAAUCUUAAAAAACCUCUAAUAAUCAACAACCUUUUCUUGUAAAAUUCUAGUUAAUCAAAACUACUGAAAUGUAAUGUAAAUCAAAAUCUAAAGAGGGAGGUAUAUAUGUUCAUAUCCAGUCAAAAUAUUAUACUGAAGGGAUUAAGAUGUAAAGUGAAAACCAAUCAAAAUUUUGUAGAGGAUAUUUGUCGUCAUAAAAGGAGGAGACAAGCCAAGUAUACAUUUAGUCAGUCCUACGCUUUCAAGAAAUGGUAUAGAUUUCCCUUGUAAUAAAAUUAGAUUUUAGCCUAUGAUUCUUGAAUUUGACAUGGUAUCUCCUAAUUUUGUUGUUGCAAAAAAAUGUCGGUUUUGGACAUUCAUUGCUGCUACCGGAAUGAGAGAGCAGUCCCAAUCAAUUUUCUUUCUUUUUUUCUUGGUAUUCAAUUGAUUAGUGUUAAAACAAGAUUCUUCAUUAUAGUUUUGUAUCUUGACUGCUUGAUUCAUCUCUGUGGCCUUCACUGUCUACCCUUAUAUAUGUAUCCUGAAUUCCUGAUGUGGCCCAUAUUUGAUGAACACAUACCAGAAAUAUCCUGCUGUAUCUAGUGAUCAAUAUUUAUUUAUUAGUAAUGGCGAAGAUGAUAAAUUUUUUGAAUCCCACAAAAUAUUCUCUGUUUCUUUGCCACUUAAUGCCGUGUAAUGUUUGUCUCUGAAUCUCUCUCUCCAUUAAGAAUAGUUUGUGGUUUGUCUUUGAUGCUACAGGCAGGUGAGCAAAUGAAACUUGAAUAUCAGAAAAAGGUAGCUUCGUUGAAUAAGUUGAAGAAACAUGGCUCAAACACAGGCGCCUUAGAAAGGAUGAAAGCAGCAGUUAGUCAUCUGCAUACCAGAUACAUUGUUGACAUGCAAUCCAUGGACUCCACCGUUUCAGAAAUUAAUAGUUUGUGCAAUGAUCACCUGUAUCCGAAACUUGUUACCCUUGUUGAUGCGUAAGUUCCUACGCUGCUAUGAGAAAUACUGCCUAUUGUCUAGCCGUUGUUGAUGAUCUGUAGCUUGCUUCCAUUAGCAUUUGUUAUAAGCAAAAUAAUUAGUGUGGCAUAUACCAUGAUCGCUUCAUGAAACACGUAACCUUAAUAUGAUACCAUAAGUUUCUCUUGCUUAUCUUCAUGUACAUGAACUUCCAGGUUUCAUUUUUCUUACUACUUCAAAAAUCAGUUAGCCUAUGUAUCUUCCAUUUAUUUUUAUCCCUAUUGCAAAUGAAUAUCAAAUUUGAUUUUUCCCUUUUGUUACUGCAAAGUUCUUUACACAAGAUUGCAUUGUUCUUGUUGAGGAUGUAAUUAAAAUAAAUAUAUUUGUCCUUUCAAUAACAACUAAAGCUGUUAAAUUGAUGUGACUUGACUUGGUAACAGAGCACUUAAAGUUCCUUAACUCAAGUCCAGAUAUCAUCUAUCAUGAAAAUUUUGCUCAUGUUGGCCUUUGAUGUAUGUGAGGUGCCCCUUGAAGAUAUAGUUUAAAUAAAUAUGUUUGUCCUCUCUCUAUCAUCUUAAUCUUUUAGAUGAGAUGGUAAAUUGGUCCAAGCCAGGUAUUUGGUCAAAGCCAUGAGGAUCCCCUCUAAAUGAUAGACUGAUGGAUAUUCAUGGUUAUGCAUUGUAAUCAGCAUUUAAAUUACCUAAAUUUUAUAACUUUUAUUUUUUAAAUUUCGUUCUCGUGCCAAUUUUGAAGAAAAUUGUUUUUAGAAAAUUACAAUUUCUGUAAAGGUUUUCACAUAUACGGCCCUAUAAAGUUAGCUUCCUUUUUUUUUUUUUUUUUUUUCUUUUUUUUAAUCCUUAUUAACCUUAAAAACUAUAUUAAGUCCUUUCUUAUUGAUCACAGGAUGGCUAUAAUGUGGAAAACGAUGAGAAUGUACCAUGAAAAACAAUCUAAAAUUGUGCUAGCUUUGAAGCAUGUGGACAUUCCUCAAUCUCCUAAACAAACAAGUGACCACCACCACGAGCGCACUCAACUUUUAUGUUAUGUUGUUCAGGAUUGUCAUUCACGUUUAAGUGAACUCGUGUCUCAGCAGAAAGAAUAUAUUAAAUCUCUCGACGACUGGUUGAAGUUAAAUCUCAUUCCUAUAGAUACAAACUUGAAAGAGAAAGUUUCAUCUCCCCGUGGGACCCAAAAUCCCCCAUUACAGACACUUUUGCAAGACUGGCAGGAUUACCUCCAGAAUAUUCCUGAUGAGCCGAAAUCAACUAUUAAAAAUUUUGCUGUUCAGAUUCAGACUAUAUGGCAGGAUCAGAAAGAGGAGUUGGACUUAAGAAACAAAUGUGCAGAGUCGGAGAAGGAGCUUAUGAGAAGGUCCCGCGAGUUCAAGAAUUGGCAUAAUAAAUAUAUACAGAGGAGAACCCCACCUGAUGUAAUGGAUGCAGAUAGAGCACACGAUAAGGAUUUUAUUGCAGAAAGGGAGCAUAUUGUUGAAGCAGCAAAAUUGAAAUUGAGAGGUGAUGAGGAAGCAUACCAAAGGCUGUGCAUGCAGGUCAGAGAGAGAUCUAUGGCGAGCCUCAAAAGCAAUUUACCAGGACUUUUUGAGGCACUGUCAGAUUUUUCUCUUGCUUGUUCAGAUAUGUAUAACAACUUGAGGUCCAUCGAGCAUUCACGAAAUAGAAGUCAGGGUUGAUGAAGAAACGCUGAUUAUAUCAUUCCAUGCUAUUGGGUAAAUAUUUGUUUCACACUUUCAAAAUAAAUUCUACUUUGUUGUAUCUUUAUGUGAAAUAUGGAGUGUUUAAUGUAACUUGUGAAUUAAUUCAUUGGUAUGUAAGGUGUGUUUUAUAUGACAUAUGACUGUCAAGGGGGUCUUAAAUGGUAUUUCUUUGUUAUACACUUGUACGUACUUGUGUUUUAUACUUGUGAAUUAAUACAUUAAUACUUGUUUUGUGCUUCAUUUUUUAAAUUCAUUUCAGCGGGCUGUGCAUUUCCCUUUUUUUGCCUAUUGUUUUUCUGCAGAUGGUGAAGAGAGUAGUUGGGUAAGCUAAGAGAGUUGUUCAAUCAAAAUCAUUUGACUAAAUCAAUCUUCCGCCUAAAAGGGUUGGUGGGCGCAGAGCUGUCCAGUGGGCUGGGAAGGGCUUGGCCGAGUAGGCCUGUCUACACAGAGGCCACCAGGCACUGGUUUGGAUUCGGCCAAACUAGGCCUGGUGACGUGGCUCAACUUAAUAUCCCUAGACGGGCGGAGGUGGUGGUUUGAUGAAGUAGCUGGUAAAAUUUACCAGUUCCACAAGAGUGUGAAAACGAGAAGGAAAAGAAAAAUGCAUAAUGCAAUGCCCACCAAAAAUUUGGGUUGGGCAGAACAAUGGGUGGUAGCUUGAAAUUUGUACCAAAAUGGAUAAAAUGGUCAAGUUUGAGGUAUAAGAUUCCUCCAAACCCUUUUUCGAUUUUGAAUGAUUCAUGGUCUGAUUUUGGGGAAGUGGAAGAGGUGGCCAUGUGUUGGAUGAUGCUUUCAAGGUGUGUCAGAAGAAAUUCGAAUAGGUUUAGCUUUAGAUAUUGUGGAGUUGAAUCAUAUCGUAGAAGCAACAUAAUUGAUAGAAAUGAAAUGUGCAGAUGGGGAAUCAGUAGGAAAUGUUGAUUUUAUGGUUCUGCAUAUGCUUUUUCUAAUAAAA
rnacentral:lncRNA from 1 species